rnacentral:rRNA from 1 species
CGUGUAGGUGGCCAGAUAGGUCCGUUGUGAAAACUGGAGGCUUAACCUCCAGCCGUCGAUGGAAACCAUCUGGCUAGAGUCCGGAAGAGGAGAGUGGAAUUCCUGGUGUAGCGGUGAAAUGCGCAGAUAUCAGGAAGAACACCCGUGGCGAAGGCGGCUCUCUGGGACGGUACUGACGCUGAGACGCGAAAGCGUGGGGAGCGAACA